rnacentral:misc_RNA from 1 species
GAUGAAGAACGUAGCGAAAUGCGAUAAGUAAUGUGAAUUGCAGAAUUCAGUGAAUCAUCGAAUCUUUGAACGCACAUUGCGCCCUCUGGUAUUCCGGGGGCAUGCCUGUUCGAGCGUCAUUACAACCCUCAAGCUUUGCUUGGUAUUGGACAUUGCCAGUUUCUGGCAGGUCUUAAAAUCAGUGGCGGUGCCAUUUGGCUUCAAGCGUAGUAAUUCUUCUCGCUUUGGAGAUCCAGGUGGUUACUUGCCAAUAACCCCCAAUUUUUUCAGGUUGACCUCGGAUCAGGUAGGGAUACCCGCUGAACUUAAGCAUAUCAAUAAGCGGAGGA